rnacentral:lncRNA from 1 species
AUUUUGAAAUUCAGGUUUAGACAAAAAGAUAUUUCAAGCUCCUGAAGAACAAGUUUGAAGGAUUCAGAGCAGAGAAUUGCACCCUGGCAUGAUGCCUAUGCCAGCUGGACUGUGUGAUUUUUGUUCUUUAGUAGAAGGAUAACAUGACAUAGCAGGAAUAAUACUGCCUUUUCUUUCUGGCAUGGAUCAAGAGAAAAGAAAAUACAAGAAAACAGAGAGAAGAUCCUAUCUGCGACAAUUAAGAGCACUCUAAGAGGAAAACACAUCCCACCACACAAGGCAAGGUACUUCUAUAGAAGGGUGAGCCCUCACAGAUGGAGCAAUGGUGCACGCACACCUGAACAAGGGAGGGGAAGGAGUUCUUAUCCCUGAUGCAUGUGGCCCCUGCUGCUGUGUCCUUCCCCUAUUGGCUAAGGUUAGACCACACAGGCUAAACUAAUUCCGAUUGGCUAAUUUAAAGAGAGCGACGGAAGUCAAUGAAAUUUAUUUUGAGCUAUUUACAGCGUUUAAUAAUUGAGCAAGCUAUACUCCUAUAAACAAAAUUUGGAGCAUGUUUGUCUCUCUCUGUCUGCCUGGCAUCUACAGAAUUUGGAAACUAGUUUCUUUCCCAGAUUUUCUAAACUUUCCAGAGAAAAUGGUCUUCUCCCUGGCUCAGCAAGAAGAUGAACUUUAAACACUGAGAAACUGGUCAUCUCCCUGGCUCAACCAGAAGAUGAACUUUAAACACUACUCUCAAUGACUUGAUGUUCCCAUCACUACUCCUGUCAUAAAGGGAGGGGACUCAGAUAUUGAGAAUUUUAUGAUAGUGUGAACUGUCUGGUAUGUCAUUUAAGUAAGCCCGUUGCUGACAUAUUUUCCAUGUUAUUAGAAAGAGCUGAAGAGAGGGUUUGAGAUGGCUUCUUUAUUUUUUGUCUUUUGGGAAUUAAAGGAACCUGGUUCAACAAGGGCCUACACCUAAGUCUCUUGUUGUACCAGAGUACAAUUUAGGACUGCUCCUGAGGAAGGAAUUAGCUAGAAAUCUAGAGAGUAAGGGUAACAGAUUUACAAUAGAAUAACAGCCUCAGUAUUUUUGGUUCCUCUCCAGUAAAGAUCACAAAGAAUAUUGCUAAAUCGCUAAAACACCUUUGCAAUAACGUAAGGGCUUACAACUAUACACCAAUGUAGCUCAGUUACUAAACUGGAGUAAAAUAAUUUCUCUUGUGUAGAAAAAUUGGUUGGCUGUGGUUUUAUAGCAGAUUUGCAAUUAUUAAUAGUUAUGCCAAUAAUCGUUUAACAGUGCAUAUGUUAAUAUGUAUGGAAAGACAAUGUGUAUAGACAGAUGUGUAAAAUUGAAAAAUAAACAUAUAACAAGAGAGAAACAUCUAUCGAACAGACAAUAUACAUACACAUUAAACACAACAGCAGUUUUAGUGACCACAAUAUUUAUUUCUCAUUUUUACAUUGGUUACUUUACUGACAACUGAAAAUGACAGUUGGCAAUGCAGCUAACAGUUUCAAUAAAAGUAUAAAACAAAA